rnacentral:rRNA from 1 species
UACGUAGGGGGCAAGCGUUGUCCGGAUUUAUUGGGCGUAAAGAGCGUGUAGGCGGCUAGGUAGGUCCGUUGUGAAAACUCGAGGCUCAACCUCGAGACGUCGAUGGAAACCAUCUAGCUAGAGUCCGGAAGAGGAGAGUGGAAUUCCUGGUGUAGCGGUGAAAUGCGCAGAUAUCAGGAAGAGCACCCGUGGCGAAGGCGGCUCUCUGGGACGGUACUGACGCUGAGACGCGAAAGCGUGGGGAGCGAACAGG